CUCCUACGGGAGGCAGCAGUGGGGAAUAUUGCACAAUGGGCGAAAGCCUGAUGCAGCCAUGCCGCGUGUGUGAAGAAGGCCUUCGGGUUGUAAAGCACUUUCAGUAAGGAGGAAAGGUUAGUCACUAAUAUUGGCUAGCUGUGACGUUACUUACAGAAGAAGCACCGGCUAACUCCGUGCCAGCAGCCGCGGUAAU
rnacentral:rRNA from 1 species